CGGGGGAAACAAACAACUGUUAUUCUGUCUUGUAUCACCUUUUGGUGUUGCGUAAUUGUCCCAUAUGCAUUCCCUGUUUUUUUUAGAGCCAUCGUUCUCUUUGGCCGUGCCUCAGCCUAUCUUUCUUGUUACUGUCUACAUGUGAGCUCUCCUGGGCUUUACCGUGAAUCAUGGUCAUGCACACUGGCUCUCCUCUUUUUAUAACUUUAAAACUAUGUACAUGUG